GUUCUUUUUGGCAGCACAUAUAUGAAAAUUGGAAUAAUAGAGAAAAGAUUAGCACGGCACCUGUGCAAGGAUGACAUGCAAAUUCGUGAAAUGUUCGACAUUUUU